GAUUCUGUUGCUCUACAGUGUGGCGGCUACUGUUGUGCUGUUUAUGUAUUGCAAGGCUUUGCAGGGGGAGCUUGCCUUUGAGAUUGCGGAGGAGUUCGCGCAGGAGUAUAUCCGGCUGCCUUUCGAUGAUGGGAAGCUUUCCCACGUUGUCUACGUCGUGUAGCUGAGGUUCUUGAACCGGGCAGCGCUGAAGAGACUAGAAGAGUUUGGAACAGAAGGUUCCAUGAUAAGUCCAUGGAAAAGAUGUUGCUAUUCUUGUCCCUGGUGAUGUAGUUUGUAUAAAAUUGGGCGAAAUUAAGAAGCUGGUACUUGUAUGGUGGGAGAAUUGGUAGACAGAAAUGUAUGUGAUAUUUACUACAUGCGCAUGUAGUAAAACAUGUAUUAACAGGCAACUUGUGUAGCUCGAAUUGUUGGAUGUUAUGUUAUAUAUGCUAAUAUUAUCUUGUCAAUGUUAUUUUAUUA